CACACGUUCCUUAGAUCCACCUCUGGGGGGUACUCUGCUCUCAGCGGAUGCCCUCAGCAGCUUUCUGGCUGUACAGUUGGAGGUGCUUGAGUCAUUGGCGUGUGAGAGCAGUCUACCUGUUUCCCGGCUCACCUGCACCACUGGCAGCCCUGUUCUGUAAAAACAGGAAAUCAACCAGUGUUGCUAGCCAGGGGAAUGGACAUU